UCCGGUUGAUCCUGCCGGACCUGACUGCUAUCGGGAUGAGGCUAAGCCAUGGAAGUCGACGUGCGCCCUUGUGCACGUGGCGUACGGCUCAGUAACGCGUGGCUAACCUGCCCUCGUGACGGGGAUAACCUCGGGAAACUGAGGAUAAUCCCCGAUAGGCGAGCGGCUUUGGAAGAACCGCUCACCGAAAGGGACGGAGGAAAUGGCCUUCGUCCGCGCGAGGAUGGGGCUGCGUCCCAUCAGGCAGUUGGUGGGGUAAUGGCCCACCAAACCUAUAACGGGUACGGGCCGUGAGAGCGGGAGCCCGGAGAUGGGCACUGAGACAAGGGCCCAGGCUCUACGGAGCGCACCAAGCGCGAAACCUUCGCAAUGCGGGAAACCGUGACGGGGCCAUCCCGAGUGCAGGCUGCUGAGGUCUGCUUUUGCCCAGUGUAAGAAGCUGGGCGAAUAAGUGGGGGGCAAGACUGGUGUCAGCCGCCGCGGUAAUACCAGCUCCACGAGUGGUCAGGACGGUUAUUGGGCCUAAAGCGUCCGUAGCCGGCCCGGUAAGUUUAUGGUGAAAUCCGGCAUCUCAAGUGUCGGAGCGCUGUAAAUACUGCCGGGCUAGGGAGCGGGAGAGGCCGAGGGUACCUCCGGGGUAGGGGCGAAAUCCUAUAAUCCCGGAGUGACGACCAGUGGCGAAAGCGCUCGGCUAGAACGCGUCCGACGGUGAGGGACGAAAGCUGGGGUAGCAAACCGGAUUAGAUACCCGGGUAGUCCCAGCCGUAAACUAUGCGGGCUAGUUGUCGGAACGGCUUAGGGCCGCUCCGGUAACGCAGGGAAGCCAUUAAGCCCGCCGCCUGGGGAGUACGACCGCAAGGUUGAAACUUAAAGGAAUUGGCGGGGGAGCACCACAAGGGGUGAAGCUUGCGGCUCAAUUGGAGUCAACGCCGGG
rnacentral:rRNA from 1 species